rnacentral:tRNA from 1 species
AUUUUUAUUUAUAUAGUUUACACAAAAACAUUACAUUUUCAUUGUAAAAUUAAAUUAUUCUUAUUUUAUAA